rnacentral:lncRNA from 1 species
UAUGCCCAAGCCACUACACCGCGUCCAUCAACCUGUGCACCUGCAUCCACGCCGUAGCCCACCCCUCCGCGUCUCAGGCGAAACUACCUCUUCCUCGGUGAGUUCCCUUCCCUGCCAUUGUUUUUCUCCGUUACGAGUUCAUAGAUCAAUUUCCUCUGGUGACACGCUGCUCACGUGUGUCGUAGCCAUCACCUCCGUCUUGGGGUUCAUGAGCUCGUUGUCCCAAUGCCGCAGCCCCGGCCGCACACACACAAGUCGCCCCGUGCGUCGUCUUGCUGCUGUGCUGCCUCAAACAGCGCCAUGCAACAUGCUCGCGUGUCCUGGCUGCGCCGCUGCACGCCCAGACGCACCCCCUGCAGUCCCACUCCGGCGUCGGUCGGCGAGCCACCAGCAACCAACGCCGCCCCUGGCCUCGGCUACCCCACCCUGCCGGCCCACCACAUGUUGUUUCGCGCGUUUGCAGCGUGCUGAUUCGCACGCUGUUCGCGCGUUGUCGCGCGCUGUUUGCGCGUCGCUCUUGUUCGUUCGCGCGUUCGCGUCGCACGUCUGGCACGCGCGUUGUUGCAUGCUGUUCGCGCGCAUCAUCACAGAUCAUUUGCUCAUGGUCAUACGUGGUCGUGCGUGCUUUCCGUGUGCUCCUUCGCACGUGACCCGCGUUGUUGCCACAUGUGGCACCGUGUCGCAUGUUUUAGUUGAAUAAUUAAUUAUUGAUUUAUUCGAGGGUUAAUAAAAUAACAAUGUAUUUAGAACGAGCUUAUAGUUUUAACUCGUGCCUUUAUAAAUAUAAAUGUUAAUUAACUUGAUUAAUACCAGCUUAAAUACUUUUAAUUAAUUAUUUGUUUGUUGUUGUUCGCGCGCGGCAUCGUUUGCGCGUCAUCGUGCUGUUCGCGCGCGUAUUCGCGUCGACUCGCGCGUGUCGCGCGCUGUCGUGCCGUUCCGCGCGUCGUAAAUUUGUCUCGCUUAGAAUCUCUCGUGUUAAUUAAAUUACUUAUUUAUUUGACAGCUGUUAGCGUUAUAGACUAAUCAAAGCUAGGCGAUAGCUCUAGUUGCAUUAAAUAAAUGUCAAAUAACGUGAGUACGUCGAAUUAAAUGUUCUAACUAAUACUUUUUAACGUAAACACUAUAACUUCUCGACCGUAGCUUCGACCGUCAUGUUUCUUAUCUUCGCGUAAUCGUAGAAGCGCUCUCUAUUUUUAUAAUUCUUGUUUUGAUAAUAUUUUAUCUUGUAUGGUGUAAUGUUCUUAUGCAAGUAUAUGUUUGCUUGUGUGUGUUUGUAUUUGUUGCGUCGCGAGUAGAUCAUGAGCUGUUCCCGAGCUUCGAGGAAUCGACGAUCAAACUUUGACGACCAAGUAGUCAGGCUCCUCGAGUUCUAUAAGGUUGAAGACCUUGAGUAUCUGUUUGGUGAAGGCAAGUGUCCUCUGACCCAUUAUAUCCUAUUUACUUUAUAAUUCACUGUCCCGCAUACUAUGAACAACCUAAGGAUUGACUAGCUUUCUAUUUACCUUGUCCUUGAUUACCUUUUAGGUUACUAUGGUUAGAUUUAUGCUAUUGCUUUACUUUAAUCAAUAAACAUGAUGUGAAUACUUAUGAUACAAUGUUGUCAUUAUUAUUAUGAUGUUGGACUGGUGAUACUUUAGGGGGCUCGAGCGGUUUCUCGAGUGCCUCUCCAUAAGGACCUAUUCGUUGGAUGACCGCCCGGAAAAACAGUGGAACCAUGAGGGUGGUAUGGGACGCCCUUAGCUAAUUAAUUAGAGGAACUGAGGUGUAGUUCGCUUCUCCGUCGUGCCGUCAAUGGGGCUCGGUGUAUGCGGCUCGCUCUGCCAAGGUUGGUUCACCCCUUGGGAAAGCCUCAGGGAAUCUUUGUAAAGGCUUCGUAGUGAAUCCCUGGCCAUUCACCUCGGAAGUGAAUAAGGGCUUGCAAGCCCAGGCUAGAGGGGGAAUCACGACUUGUGGGUAAAGUACGCAACCUCUGCAGAGUGUUAUAAAACUGAUAUAUCAGUCGUGCUCGCGGUUAUGAGCGGCCAAGGGAGCUCCAUUGAUUAGAGACACAUUGAAUCAGGGCUACUUUGUUUACAUAUGAUGAUGGGGAUAAUGAUGGUUUUUAUGAUUAUGGUUAUGCUUAUGGUUUCUGGUAUUCUUUCCAUUUGGAAAGAGUACUUUUGAGUUAACAACUUGGGUUAAUAUUAAAACCUGGCUCUCUACUAUUAAUAAUUACCUGACCAACUAAAAGCAACUGCUUGACCUUAACCCCACAUAAAGCUAGUCCACUAUAGUCAAACGAGACAUUUGCUGAGUACGUUGAUGUGUACUCACCCUUGCUUUCACAAAACACCAGGUUGCCUCUGGUGCAAUCUAUGCUCAGUUAAAGAAGAAGGUGUUGAGGCGGAUUUCCAGGAGUUCCAAUACUUCGACGAGUUCGAGGAUUAGGCUAGCGACCUCCCCCAGUCAGCUGCCUAUGGUGGGUUGUUUACGUUGGCUACGUUUCGAUUCUGUGUACUUUGAUUUAUAUUAUGUAAAUGGAUCUAGUCUGUAAUACUAUUACUUACUCUUUAUUGUUAUUUGAAGCAUUGUGCUAUGAUGAGUCAUUUAUGUAAUCGCUGUGUACGUGAAUUACUGAUCCUGGUACAUAC